rnacentral:rRNA from 1 species
UACGGGGGGGGCAAGCGUUGUUCGGAAUUACUGGGCGUAAAGGGCGCGUAGGCGGCCUGCUAAGUCGGACGUGAAAUCCCUCGGCUCAACCGAGGAACUGCGUCCGAUACUGGUGGGCUUGAAUCCGGGAGAGGGAUGUGGAAUUCCAGGUGUAGCGGUGAAAUGCGUAGGUAUCUGGAGGAACACCGGUGGCGAAGGCGGCAUCUGGACCGGUAUUGACGCUGAGGCGCGAAAGCUAGGGGAGCAAACGGGAU